GAUGAAGAACGCAGCGAAAUGCGAUAAGUAAUGUGAAUUGCAGAAUUCAGUGAAUCAUCGAAUCUUUGAACGCACAUUGCGCCCUCUGGUAUUCCGGGGGGCAUACCUGUUCGAGCGUCAUUAUAACCACUCAAGCUCUCGCUUGGUAUUGGGGCUCGCGGUUCCGCGGCCCCUAAAAUCAGUGGCGGUGCCUGUCGGCUCUACGCGUAGUAAUACUCCUCGCGAUUGAGUCCGGUAGGUCUACUUGCCAGCAACCCCCAAUUUUUACAGGUUGACCUCGGAUCAGGUAGGGAUACCCGCUGAACUUAAGCAUAUCAAUAAGCGGAGGA
rnacentral:misc_RNA from 1 species